UUAUGGGAGCUACAAUUCACGAUGAGAUUUGGGUGGGGACACAGCCAAACCAUAUCAAAUCCUUAGUAACACGAGCAUUUUAUGAUGUUAUAAAAUCACUCUUCUUCUUUGUUUUUGUUGUUUCAUGAGUGAUGGAUAACUUCAGAAGAUUGUGUUGGCAGUUAGCAAGGUUUGAAAGAGGUGUGUUCAAAAUUUGAUAGAUUUUUGACUAUUUAAAAAUAAUUGUUGAGGAGGAGCAGUUCUCAUGUGGCCUUCAUGCAGAGGGAACUUAGAAGUGUAAGCCUCCUGACUUCUGUCUGUCCCUUCACCCACUCUGCCUCAAAGCGGCUAGACUGAUUUUCGGAUUGGUCUAUUUGAAAUGGAUAUGAUUGAGUUUAAUACCUCUAUCCCUCUUCCUUUGGGAGUGAGCUGUCUACAUGAUAAUCCUUUCUCCACCACUCCGUGGGGUCAGCCUUCUCCCCAUCUGCAGGAGGCAGCUCUCACUGAGUACCACCUACCACCACUGAGUUCAGUGGACAAUGAGGACACCCAACCGCCUCGUUCUGAGUUGUGUCUUCCAACUUCAUCUUUAGUAACUCAUCUCUUAUCUCUUCACCUCCCUGUCUUACUUUUCUAAAUGUUCAUCACUCUAACUGGGAAGUGAGAUACUGUGUAUUAGGCCCCCAGCCCUCACAAACUCCAGCAAUGAACACUAAGCUACACAAGGUGGAUACAAAUAACUAUUGAUUGUUUUGCGAGGUGAGUAGUUUGUAUUAGGUAGAAGAAGAAAGGGUAGGUGAAUCUUCUUUCCUUCAAGGAACAUGUAAUGACACAUAAACGGUUAGAAACAAUAAGAGAGGGAUUAUAGGCCUUAAAUGAGUGGAGCAGACAGAACUAAGGAAAAUUAGAGGAGAAAGAUAUUGGUUGGAAAGCCUAAUAGGGAGUUAAAGUUUCAGCUGAGCUUUAAGGGAAGGUUGGUACAUGCAUUCCAAAAAGUGCAGAGUGUUCUAUUAAUGGAAAAGUAAGCACAUCAAGCUGGUUCUAUUGCAAAUAUAUAUUUAAAAUUACAUCCUGUAAGUAACUGAAACCUCUAUCAUUACAUUAAAAAAUGUAAAACCUUCUGGAGCAGCCGAGUACAUGGCAGCAGCUGCAACAUCAGCAUGUUCCGUCUCACUCUUUGCACAGACAGCACAACUGCUAGUGAUGUUCACAAUAGACUUGGGAGAAAUUUUGACACGGAAUAACUGUGAUAUUUAAGGAAGAAAAAAAACGCUGAAAGUUGAUGCAAAAACUGAAGUCUCUCCCAUGUAAUUACAAUGAACAUGCUAAACAAAGAUGGAAUUAACCCUGAGAACUUAAAGCCAACAAGAGGAGUUGGCUGCACCUGCAUCAGAACAAAAUGUGGUUGGUCCCUGACCUGGCAUAAGACAGGAAAGUCACCUGUGUAGUAGAAUUGUGGGCACAAGCACACACUUCAUUCAGGCGAAGGCUCAGUGAGAGACCUUAUGUCCUGUCCUGCCCUGAGAGAUGGAGGCUUUUAGAUAAGCAGAGGAAAGGGGGUAAGACACCCAGCACAUGGAGGGAAAACAAAAGUCUCAAGCAGGAAAGUAUAGAAGAUACUUAGAGAAGACAGGGCAGGAGUGCAGAGAUUUUGAUGUCUAUAAACCUUGGUUGACCUUGAAGAUUUAUCUUUUAAUGCCAUUAUCUCAUGUUAAUUAAUAAUGGCAACUUAACUUUUUGUCUUCAUGGCAUUGUGACAACACUGCCUUUCAGCAGCCAUAGUGAUGUUACUGAUCUGCUUUUGCCUGGUUUUCUAUGAGUAAACUGUGUGCUGAGCCAGCCACGUGCUGUGACUCAGGCCUUCUUAUGACCAGUACCACCAGGCACUCACACUGCUGUUGGCCAAGAGCUGCCUGUGGCCAUACAGCAGAGACAAAUUAAUACUAACACCAUCCUUACGUUUGGGAGACAGGCUAACAGUUUACAGGCUCCAGAGCACUUUCACAUCCCUUCACAUUUAAUCCUUGGAUCACAUCUGGUGUUAUUCAGGCACAACUGGAAGGCCACGUGCUGGUGGACCACAUCUGGAAUAGCCUAUGUUGAGAGACACAUCUGGCACUCUUCCCCCAUCACCUUCCUUCUUUUCUCUUCAGAGAACUUGGGACACGGAGUCAAGACACCUUGCUUUCAAGCCCAGGUCUUCUAUUAACUGACCAUGGGCUUGUAGGCAAAGUCACACCACUUCUCUGGGUAUAAUUGCAUACUGGGUGAUUUCUAAAGCCUCUUCCUGCUCCAAGAUACUAUUAUGCUGUGACAAACUGGAGAAGUAGACAGUGACGAUAUUGAUAGGGAACCUCCUUAAAAAUGGAGACCCUGUUAUUCAGAGAAUUUAAUGGCUUCUAAUCCAGGAUUACACAGAUGGUAAGCAGUAACAUCUCUGGUUGUUUCAUUUAGUGUUUUUUCCACUACAUUGCACACAUGUGCGUGAGCACAAUGUGGAUUAACCUUGACCCGCUUAGCUCUAGCUCAGAUAACCAGAUGCAGAUGGAGGAAUCCAUGCUUUCAGCGAAAUUACAUUAAUUACUUGGACGGUAUGUGGCUAAAUAAGAUUCCACAAACUGACAGCCUGCAGACAGGAUUUGUCCUGAAGCCCUGUUUUGUUUGGCCCCUAGCGUGUUUUAUUUAAAAAAUUGACAUGUUGCUAUACUUUAAAUUUGGGAUAUUUACAUAAAAAUCCAAAAUUUCAAGUUCUCUUAAAAAGCCAAAAGAUUUAUGAUUGGCUGAAAUGGGCUCAUCAUUAUAUUGUCCCUUCAGUUAGUGUUUUCAAACUUCCAUACUGUUGACAUUUUGGGCUGGAUAAUUCUUUGUUGUGGAGAGGCUGUCCUGUGGAUUUUGGGAUGUCUAGCAGUAUCCCUAGCCUGUGCUCAGCAGAUGCCAGUAGCACCUUCUCCUCUGUUGUGACAAUCAGUGUGACAUUUCCAAAUGUCCUUUGGCUGGGGGGCACAAAAUUCCCUUAUGUUGAGAAUGAUUGUUGUAGGCAUUUGAAUAGGAAUCCUUGGAAAACAGAAGAGCUGGAGAAGAUGUAGUCCAAUGCUCUCAGUUUACAGAGAAGGAAACUGAAGCCCAACCGGAGAGGUUAAGUAACUUGCCCACGGUGACACAAUUGGAACAAUGGUGACAGACCUAGGACUGGAACCCAGGUCCUCUGACACCUUGUGCAGUGCAUUUUUCACCUAGAUCUGCUUCCAAAGCCCUCACCUGCCAACUGUGUGAGAUGACGGGUACAUUAAUUUGCUAAUUUCCCACCCACUUUAAUUGCUGAUCAGGAAGGCCUGACGGCUGCUUUCACUUCCUUGCAAGUGUGUCCAGAGGCAAGCAGAGCAGCUCCCCAUUCCAAGGGAGCAUUUCCUGGAUAUAGGCGGCCCAUAUUGUUUCACUCAGAUUGGAAGGGGUGUUGCAUAAACAUUUGCCUUAUUCUCUGAUCCAGUCAUUUAAAUAAGAUUUUUCUCAUUCCCAGCCAAUUCAGAUCAUCAGUCUCUUUUGCAUUCUUGAAUCAACAUUUCCUCCAAAGCCGCUAAGAAAGUGUACAGCCAGAAACAAAUGUUUGUGUGAAGUCAUUUGUCACUCUGCAAAUUCCUUAGGAAUGUGGUUAUACAACAAACAGUUGGAUGUUAUCAUUUAUAUGCCUAGAAUUUGUUUCAUUAUCUGAAAGCUCAUCCUUUUUGAUAAAAAAAAUUUUAGAAGUAUAUUAAUGAUUUAUCACAGGAAGUAUUUACUUUUCACAAUAAUAAAUUCCUCUGAUGUGAGAAAGUACCUACCAGGCUCACUGGACCAGAAGCCCUGAGUGCUUAGGCUUCAGUUUUGGCUCUGUCACUAUCCAAACUGAUGGCCUAAACAGGGCCAUAUCUUUCUCAACAGUGUUUUCUGAGCUACCACUGAGAUCCCUUGACACUCUCAUAUUGUAUGAGUCAUAUUCCUGUUUCAUCUAUUAUAGUCCCUGUGAGCUUUCUCCUAUAAUUGAGUCUUGUUCUACCUGGUUUGACUACUGCAUUUUUGAUAGAGAAAGCCCAGGAAACACCUAUUGUAAAAUGUUAUUCAUUUACCCACUUACAGUGGGACCAGCCCACAGGUUAAUUUGAAAUUUUUCUAGUUGUCAGUGAAAUAUCUUAGUUAGAAAGUAACUUUGCCAGACAGUAAUUUUAAACUCUGCUUUGUGGGUACAAUAGUCCCCUCUUAUCCAAGAGGGAUAUGGUCCAACACUGCUAGUGGGUGCCUGAAAUCAUGGAUUGUAGGAACCCAAUCAAACACAGUUCUGUUCACAUCCACCCACAAAUUUAAUACCUUUUCCAUCCUAACUAAGCGCUUGUCAUGCACUGUGGCCAUAAUUUUGCAGUUUAAAGGGCAACAGCAAAACUAGCACACAUUUUUUUUUUCCUCUCCACAAUUUAACAGAUAGGUCUGUUUUUACUGUAGGUUUUAGCAACUUCAGCAUACAAUUCUUUUUUUCUUAUUAAGUUGAGAACCUCCUCCUUUUCAUGUAAAGAAGACUAUGGUUUCUUUUUGGUAUAUCCAAAUUGCCUUGCAUCACUACUCUUGUGGUUAGGACCUUUAUGAAGUAACAUAAGGGUCCCUUGAACACAAGCACUCUGCUAUCAUGACAACAGAUCUGUUAACCAAGAAAUCUACUAAGUAAAUCACAGGCAGGGAGGGUAGAUAGCAUGAAGACGCUGGACAAAGAGAGGAUUAACCUCCUGGGUAAGAUGGGGAGGGAGGGCACACAGUUUAAAACGUAUGAAUUGUUUAUGUCGGAAUUUUCCAUUUAAUAUUUUCAGACCACGGUUGACCACAGGUAACUGAAACCACAGGAAUGAGAUGACAGGGAUACUGAGGGGCUACUUGUGAGAUGGCAAAAAAGAGAUAUGGCAACCAGAAUUUCCCUCAGUCGCCCCUGACAAGUUCUCCUACAUCUUCACACAAAGUAAGAGGGCCGCCACUUCACGGUGAUCUCAGCACUCCUAAUGCCAUUUGGAAAAUUCUGGACUUGGAUUAAGCACUACUCAGGCAGGACAGUUCACAGAUAUCUGUGAGCCAUGACUUAAGGCCCAUCAUCUCUGAAGCUAUUUCCAAGUUAGUUAGCAUCAUAUGGACAAACAGAGGGAGAGGCAGAAAGAGAAAUUUCUUUUCCUGCAACGUAUGUGUUAUGUUAACAAUAGGAUACAAUGAAGUUAGGGAAUCAUGUAUGAAUGUAAAUGCCCCUGCAUCCCCACCGUGUUCAGUACUUUAUGUAUUACCUUUGUCUUUUCCAUGAUAUGCUUCUUACACAUUCCCCCACUCUUUCCAUGGUUAUCUGUCAAUUGUCAAAUGCUGUUUACCUAGAGCAUCGGGGUUCUCAUUUGCUAGACUUUUUUUUUUUUGCAGUUUAUUAUUCUUUACCUCUGUUUACUAAACUCCAGCAUCUCACCUACAUUAUGUAACUUUUUAUCAAAGUUAAGUGAAAUGUAGAUCUUGAAUUUUCUCUUUCUUCAAUAAUUCUUUAUUGCUUGUGAAAUAUAUUCCUAUAAUAUUGUAUAUGUGACCAGGGGACCAGAUGGGACAGGAGAAGGAAAAUGGUUUUUAAGUGAUGCAAGGCGAUGCUUAUUGUCUGUCAAGUCAGGACUAUGAGGCCUCACAACGUGGAAGCAAGGCAGGCACAUUUCUUCACCUCUGAACAUUCUUGACCGGCUACUGUAUGCCACAGCCUAGGGAUAAAAACUUGAGGAAGGGUCUACCUCUGCCUCUGGAAGCUUAUAAUCUGUGGUAUAGCCAAGUAACAAAGGAUUUCAGAACAGUGUGCUGGGUGCUGCCAUGGGGAUAGCCACAGGGUGCUGGGGGAACAGGCAAUAGUGAUACCCAACUUGGUCUCGGGAGAAUCAGGGAAGGUUUUCUGCAUGGGAGGGUGGUGUUCAAGUGAUACCUGAGUAGAGGCUGUCCAUGCAAAAAAGUGGAAAAUAUCAUGGCAAGCUUCCAGAGAUGAGAAAGUUUGGGAUCACCGACUAGUUCCAUGCAUCUGGAGCAUAGAGUGGAAGUAGCUGAGUACUGAAAUCCAAAGACGGGGAUGAAAGCAGAGACUGGAUUAAAAAUCCCUGAGAGCCAAGAUAUCAAGUAGGUAAGGGGCAGAGGUCAAAAUAAAUGGAUCCAGCCAGUCUGAGGAAGAUUCACCUACACCAAUGCUGCAGUCUGAAGCUGGAUAAGAAGAAGGGAAGGAAAUAAACAUUUUUGAGUGUGUACCAUAUACCAGACCCUGUGCAUCACCUAAUCAAAUUAUCACACAAAGCUUUUAGGGGGUAUAAUUGUCACCAUUUCAUGGCUGAAAAACAUGGCCUCAAAAGAUAGCAUGAUGGGUAUCACACAGCUUUUGAGUAGUAGGUCUGGGAUUCAAAUUCAGGUCUAAUUCCAAAGCCUGUGUUCUUUCUGACCAUAGCAAUGACUCCAGAGCAACAGGCCAGCGAAGAGAGGGCAGGCUUUAAUGAAUGAGAUAGAAGCUACAGUGAGUCAGACUUGGGCUUCAGGUAACCACAUGGAGGCAGGGUAACAGCUGGCACAAGACUUCCAGGAAAUGGGCAAUGUUUGGAAAGAUAUGUUGACAAACUGCCCAGGCUGUGGGGCAUGAGGUCCAAAGGUCAAAGUUUAGAAGAAUAAAAAGCAAAAUCAAAUUUCUAUGUAGAAGAAGCUAACUAGAAGUUGAUAUAGAAGCAUGAAACUAGACAGAAGAGGGAGGAGUUAGAAGAAGAGACAGGGCCAAGUGCCAUGCUGAGAGGCCGAAGCUACAGAAAAAGUGUCCAAGGAGAGAGGCUCCUGGUGAUGGGGUGGCUGAAAGACUUUAAAGAAUAGAAGUGUCUGAUAUGUAAUCAUAGGUUGUUUGGUUGAUGUCCUGUAAACUCCAACAAUUGCCCCAAUUCUCCUGUUAAAAUCCAUCCCACACAUCACAUAGCCUUGUGUUUGAGACAGGCUCCCGUAGAAUGUCCAAACAGGAAGACGGGGAAUGUUCAGUGUGGAGUGACAGGGUACACAGAACAGAGAGCAGGCACAGAAAAGAGAGGGAGCCCGUACAUGGAGUGAUUAGGCCUCAGCCAGAGGUAGCCAGGAACAUUAUAAACAACUUGCCCACAUGUCAAAGAUUAGCAGAGAGUUUGAGAGAGUUGUUAAAUGGCUCACCACAUAAGGAAGGAGAAUGCAAAACAAUUUCAUUUGAAUCCUGAAAGGGCAAGCUGAACUUAGCUGAUGUGUGGCUUAUGAAAAGAAGAUAUUGCUAAUAGAGCUGAUCAAGGAUUAAGUAGGCAACCUUGGACAGCAGUUAAUUUUCCACCCCUGGGAAUGUGUAGGCAAAGAGGACACAGACCCAGACAUGGCAGUGGUAGGACAGAUUCAGGUGUCAGAUGGGGACAGACUGCAUAACCCAUUGAACUCCCUCCCAACCCUGAGAGUCCAGCCUAGGAAAGCAAGUUUAAGGCUCCCAAAUGAAUUAAGUAUCCAAGCAAAUCGGACUUGCAUUUGGGAAUGCACGUUUGACAAAACUCAGAAUGAAUGAGUCAAUAGGAAAUCCACCCAAACAGGUUAAAAUUAAAACUGAACCAUUAACAUCCAAGAGAAGGAUAAAGCUGCCUUGCUAGUCGACUUUCUGAUUCAAUCCAAGAUUUCUCAUGUGUUUCCUGCUCCUCUUAAUGAGUCACUUGGUUUAGACAGUCUAGGAUUUGCUUUCAGAGCAGGUGGAUAAACUUACCUGUCCCAAUGGAGAUUUAGGUUUCAACACCUGCUGAAGAUGCAUCUAACCUGUUGAAGAUUUUCUUGCAUUUUUAGAUUCAUGCCCGGACCUAGCCAUCCUUUCUCCCAGUUCAGUAGUGAUAUCCACCAGGCUGGAGGUGUGUUGAAGGAAUGAAAGUGCACCAGCUUCAAGAGAAAAGGAAACAAACAAAAGUAGAGCAAGAAAGAUUGAGAACAGCAAUGUAGGCAGAAAGCUGGUAACAAUGAGCUCUCUUCUCUCCAUGACCUGGCCAGAAAGAAACAAGCAAAUGCUGUUACAACCCCUUAGACUGUGUGCAAGGACAGGGUACACACCAAUUGCUAAAGCACAUGUUAAAAGGUUAAAAUUUUAAACGAUUUCCUAGAUUUUCUCUUAUACUGUGCUCAGAACAAUAUGUGCAAUUUAGAGGAAAAAAAAAACCUAAGUAAAUAUGAUAUUCUGCUAAUGCUCUUUUAUGUGUCAGCCAGGAAUGAAGAUAGCUUAGGUACAUGAAAUUCAUAGACAAACCAUACGUUUUAAAAAAGCAGACUUUAUUGGUUGGAAUUUCAGCAUGAAAGGUAUUUCUGCACCCACCCAUGGUAGGGCAACAGUCAGAAUAGUUAGAAGUCACGAAGGAGGAGGAGGCAGGAAGAACCUACAGCAACCACAGACUAGAUCGUCCGCCCUAAGAAAUUGACUGUAGACCUCAAAUAGUUGCUGAUAUUUGAAAUAAGAAUAAAAUUUCCCAUAUGCAACCAGUCUAGGGAGGCAUUCUUGGUGACAUUUUCAAAUUGUCCCAUCUGCCACAAUCCUCCACUCAGCAGGACUGAACACAUCUCCAGGGGUCAAACCCACAUGGAUUAGAUUUGAAAGACCACGAAGUUCAGUUCUUUCUUCAGAAUGUCCUCCCUUUGUGGAAACUAGAAGUAAAUUAACAACCCCACCUAGUAAUUCCAAAAGAUAGAAUCACAUUUAAGCUACCCCUUGGCUUUAGAAAUGUUUUUCUUCCAAGAAACUACUUUUGAAAUAAGUAAAAAAUGUUAAAGCUGACCACUCAUCUUUUCAUUUUAAGAAGUACUUUUGAAUCCUUCCUCCAGGCCACCAUGCUAGACAUGGAAGAUACAAAGAUCUAUUGAUGCCUUUGAAUAGCCUAGAGUCUCUUGUUCGUAUGAACAAGAUUAAGAUCCAAUAAAUUAAUCACAAAGUGCAGAUGUGCACCCUGAGCCUAAAUCUGCCCCCCAGGUAUUGGGAAAGGCCUCACAGCAAAGGUGGAGACUGAGCCGAGCAGCUGAUGGUGAGUGGGAGUUUAUCAGAUGACAGACAGGUGAAUUGCAUUUCAGAAGGAGGGAAUAGUAUGUUGCAAAGGUACCAAAGAGGGAAAGAGUAUGACAGUGGCUUGAGGAGAGUAAGUGGCACCAGGGUCAAGGGAGUGUGUUGCAUGCUCUAGUCAUGCAAGUGUUUUCCUGGAAAAAGAACAAAUGCACUGUGGUAAAAUUCAAGUGCAUUCCUAUACUUAAAAUUCAACAGAUCUAAAGAUAGUAAUUCAGAGCAAAAGGAAAUUAAAAUAUUUGAGCAGUUUCUUUGUGACACCUGAAAACAAGUGCCAGGGGAUUUAUGAGUUAUUAUCUCUAGAAUAGGUCGCUUCAUGGGCCUGUAGCCUGCCAUCACUCAGGGACCCAUGCUGAGAAGCCUCUGCUCUUGGGCAAAUGCUCUGCCCUUGCUGUCUUAAAAUUCUUUAGUACAUUUUGAACAAUGAGCCUUGGCUUUUCAUAUUCCAUUUGUCCCCAGAAAUUAUGCAGCUGAGCCUGAGAACAGAACAUUUUCAGAUAACUUGAAAUAGCUCAGUAUUGUAUUUAAAGUGGAAAGAGGGAGAAGUGGUAGAUGAGGUUGAACAUGUAGGCAGUGGCAUAUAUUGAAAGGCCUGGGAGUCUCGCUAAAAAUUUAAAAUGUACCUGUAGGAUAUAGAAGGUCAUUGAAGAAUUUGAGCAAGAAGUAGCAUGAAGAGAUGUGCUGUUUAGAUCACUCUGGUGUAAUGAGUCGAUAGAGUGGAAAUAUAACAAAAAGUUUCCCAUUUAAAAUAAAUGCACUUUCCUUGUUUGAAUUUCGUUUCUUGGGAAUAAAGUUUUGAUCCGUCUUAAAA
rnacentral:lncRNA from 1 species